rnacentral:rRNA from 1 species
AUGAAUGACAACCCACCAAUUCUAUGUUGGAAUGUCCGCGGCCUAAACUCACCAGCGGAGCGAUCUGCAGUAAGCGAAGUAGUUGUUUCUCUCUGAACGGCCAUCCUCUGUCUCCAGGAGACCAAGAUCGACGUUUGGACUCCGCAACUAGUUAGGGAUAUUGGCGGCGCAAGCCUCUCGGGAUGCAUUGUCCUACCGGCUAUCGGCACCAGAGGAGGAGUAGCGAUCUUCUGGAACCCGGACGUGGCCACUCACCUCACAUGCUGUAGGAGAAUUCGCGAUCACAGCCAAGGUUGA